AAUGGGUUUACAAAAACAAAGAUUUUUGAAAGCGAAAAUUUUAUAAAGAAUGCGAAAAACUUGAUUUUCAAAAUUUAGAUCUUUAGAAGGUGGCAUUCCGAAUCUCCGACUCAAGUCUGUAAGUAUUCUGAAUUUUUCUGAAUAUUUUCCUGAAUUAUCUGUCUGUACUGAAACCUUACUAGGACACUCUAGAUAGGAUGAUACUGAAACAUAGGAAAAUCUGAUAAGAGAUUGAAACUGUAGUUAGACUUCG
rnacentral:lncRNA from 1 species